ensembl:lncRNA
GUAAGAAAAGUAUAUAUGUGUAUGUUGUAAAAGGUUUUUUUUUUUUUUUCCAGAACACUUCUAAAAAAUUACAAUUUUGAAUUUAAUGAGAAAACAGUCAAAAUCUUUACUGUAGAUGUUAAUACACGUGGUAAUUGUGGUAGUGUUCACUCUUGUAUCCUAACACUAAAACUUGUUUUCUUGCAAAACAUUUAAAAUCAAGAUAAACAUCAUUCUGUGUAAUUUUAAGUUAAUUUAUACAGGUUAUAAAUAAUGUAUAAUUAUUCAUUUAGAGGUUAUAUAGGAAUUUAUGGCAGUUCAUGGAUGUAUUUCAUCCUCUGGCUGUGCUAUGUGGCCUUAUCACUGUCCUGGGUCACCUAUCAUCUUUAAUAGCUGUUCACUGCAGUCUGGUCUGAAUUAGGUGACAUGUCAGUCUCACCGCUGCCCGUGGUGAGGUGGUGAACUGUAUGCAGGUGUAAUGUGUCUCAGUAGGGGUCUUAGGAGCAAGGCAGAGGGCAAGAGCAGCCAUGAUCUUGUCACUAAACAGCUGGGCUCUCCCUUUCUUUCUCACACCUAGCUGCCUCAGUUCAUAAUUAUAUACACGAGGAAAUAUUCUAAGAACGUUCGAUAUCUGUUUUGAAUAUUUUCAGAAGCAGACUACAGAUGAAACUGAUCACAUUUAUUAGGAUAUUGUAUAAUUUUUUGUAUCUGUGUCUGCAAAAUUACAGGUUUACAGCACAAACAUGGUAGAUUAAGGCAAAGGCCCCCAGAUGGACACACUUAUUGACUGACAUUAUACAGGAUGCAGUAUUGUGAGAGAUAUUAGAUUCCUGGAGAGCUUAUGUAGUGAUCAUGCACGAAUCAUGUGAGUGGACAGCCAGUCGGAAUGCACCAUUGUUCUGGUGACUGUGCUAAAGAACUUUUAGUUUUGUUUCAUGAUGUUACCUCAGAUGUUCAUCCUUGGCCACAUCCUGCCAAACCUUCACACCCUUUUGUCAAGGAGCUCUCCCAGGCACUGAAAAAACUCAAAUUAAAGACGCUCUUUUCCAGUCACCACCCCCUGUUAGCAGACCACCCUGUUGUCACACCAGUAUGUCUCACCAUGCUGCAGCUCCUUGUCAGACCCAGCCAAAACCUAACUGUACUACAGUGCAGAACCCUGGAUGAAACCAUUGCCUUUCUCUUCCCGAACAGGGACCGAGCCAACCCACUCAGCUGCCUUUCUAUCAAGUACCGCCCCCAGAGGUUUAUCUGACACAAAGUCAGUUUGUUUCAAGAGACUUGAGCCAGUGCCACAAACUUCACACCCAGCUAAAACAUCCCAGCAUAGGGUUGAUGCUGUGUCCUAC